AAACCGCAUGGUUUUGAUUUGAAAGGCGCUUUCGGGUGUCGCUGAUGGAUGGACCCGCGGUGCAUUAGCUAGUUGGUGAGGUAACGGCUCACCAAGGCCACGAUGCAUAGCCGACCUGAGAGGGUGAUCGGCCACAUUGGGACUGAGACACGGCCCAAACUCCUACGGGAGGCAGCAGUAGGGAAUCUUCGGCAAUGGACGAAAGUCUGACCGAGCAACGCCGCGUGAGUGAAGAAGGUUUUCGGAUCGUAAAACUCUGUUGUUAGAGAAGAACAAGGAUGAGAGUAACUGUUCAUCCCUUGACGGUAUCUAACCAGAAAGCCACGGCUAACUACGUGCCAGCAGCCGCGGUAAUACGUAGGUGGCAAGCGUUGUCCGGAUUUAUUGGGCGUAAAGCGAGCGCA
rnacentral:rRNA from 1 species